rnacentral:rRNA from 1 species
GAUGAACGCUGGCGGCGUGCCUAAUACAUGCAAGUCGAGCGAACAGACGAGGAGCUUGCUCCUCUGACGUUAGCGGCGGACGGGUGAGUAACACGUGGAUAACCUACCUAUAAGACUGGGAUAACUUCGGGAAACCGGAGCUAAUACCGGAUAAUAUAUUGAACCGCAUGGUUCAAUAGUGAAAGACGGUUUUGCUGUCACUUAUAGAUGGAUCCGCGCCGCAUUAGCUAGUUGGUAAGGUAACGGCUUGCCAAGGCAACGAUGCGUAGCCGACCUGAGAGGGUGUACGGCCACUCUGGGAGUGAGACACGGUACAGAGUCCGAGGGGAGGCAGCAGUAGGGAAGGUUGGGAAAAGGGCGGAAGCCUGACGGAGCAACGCCGCGUGAGUGAUGAAGGGCUGCGGAUCGUAAGACUCUGUUAGUAGUGAAGAACAAAUGUGUAAGUAACUAUGCACGUUUUGACGGUACCUAAUCAGAAAGCAACGGCUAACUACGUG